AUGAAAAGGAGAGGUCGUCCCAAACCACCCAGUGUGGUUUCAAGGUUAGUCUGUGAAGCGGUGUGGGGCAUGUUCUCAGCCUGUGGCUCCACCCAGGGCAAGGAGGUUCCUUCCAAUGAUCCAGGAGUUCGGAAGUGGGGACCACCAGAAGUGGCCGAGUGGCUCCAGAACAACCGUCUGGAUCAAUAUGCACGUCACUUUGCUGAGUUUGAUGGAAAACUGUUCCAGAAACUUCUUCACAUCUAUGAACUGGCUCCAGAAAUGUUCCAAGUAGUGAUCAGAGAAGUGGCUCCACUGACUUGUCAGGAUCUCAUGCGUCUCUUGAGGGCCGUUGAUCGUCUCCUGGAAUGAGCUGAACCUGAAAACCAGACUCUCUCUCAUCUCUUGAACCAACAUCAUCCUCACUGAAACCCUUCCUGCAUCUUCUUCUUCACUUCGACCUGCAUGCACUGCAGUCUUCACCAUCACACAAUUCCACACCGAGCAUUUACACUCCACCCACAUUGCUCUGACCACACCCACAUUACCUUUACCAUGCCCACAUUACCUUUACCACACCCCUAUUACCUUUACCACACCCCUAUUACCAUUACCAUGCCCCGAUUACCUUGACCACGCCCCUAUUACCAUUAACACACCCCUAUUACCUUUACCACACCCCUAUUACCUUUACCACACCCCUAUUACCAUUACCACGCCCCAAUUACCUUUACCACACCCCGAUUACCUUUACCACACCCCGACUACCUUUACCACGCCCAUUUACACUCCACCCACAUUGCUCUGACCACACCCACAUUACCUUUACCACGCCCACAAUUUACACUCCACCCACAUUGUUCUGACCACACCCCUAUUACCUUUACCACGCCCAUUUACACUCCACCCACAUUUCUCUGACCACACCCCUAUUACCUUUACCACGCCCACCAUUUACACUCCACCCACAUUCACACACAAUACACAGACUGGGAGAACAACACAUACAUGGAGUGGGAUUUACUAUAAUCACAAAAACAAUAAUUGAUUUCUU
rnacentral:lncRNA from 1 species